GCAAUGUCCCACAUGAGUCCAGAUAAAAACCCAGAGCUCAGGACAAUGCCUCCACGAGUCCAACUGGAGGUCCAGAGCCCACAAGAAGGACUCACACCAGUCUUUUUUACAGAUCCGUGCUGGGAAGACCCAAGGGUCAGCGGUGGAAGCCAGAAAGUCUAUGCCAGCAGGAUGAAGGAGCUGUGCUAGUGGGAUGAGGGUUCUAUGCUGGAGCCGAGAAGUCACACUCACAACAAAGACCAGGGCUAUCCUAAAGGCACCACAGCUGUCCUCAGCGACACAGAGGCCCCGAGCUCCUCCGACGACAAGCACAGUCAGGCUAUCUUCUUUCAUGCUGAUGAAGCAGAAAACUUCACUGAGUGUUUCUGCAUGUUUUAAAGUAACCAGAAACCGGCACACAGACGACUCCGUGCUGCAGAUCAGCGGCUCACACUCCUUGCUGAGGAGCAUUGUCAAGACCUUUAGCAGGCAUAAUCUUUGAAUUUUCCUUGGCAAGAAGCUCACAAAUUGAUUAAAACUUGCAAAAAUUUAUAAUUUCACUGCCAAGUAUGCAAACUAAUGGGCCAAAUCUUGUAACUUUUUGGACAAUUUUUUAAAUGCUUUCUUUUUGAUUUCAUUAAAAUCUUCAGAAAUUUAAGAUUGUUUGAAGCCUCAUUUUUGCUUUUGUUGUUUUUUCUUCUUUUCCC
rnacentral:lncRNA from 1 species